CCAUGACAAUGGGUCUCUUCCGAUUGCCCAAGCAUUAAUAAGGACUUGAGUUUUAGCAGGUAUGUCAUAGUCUAGUAAUUUUACGUCUUCCAUUGAUUCUCGAGGAACUGGUAUUGGAAACGGUGGAUUAAGCCUGAGAGUCUCUUUGAUCACUGCUUUCAGAUAUUGCAUAUUUCCUAAGUCGUCCUCUGUUAUCUCUGCUUUCCCUUGGGCUAAUCCUCUCACUUCAUUUUGUAAUUUCUCCAUGGC